GGGGGUGACUGUCACUAGUCACUCCCUCCUAACUCUGUCACUGUGUCACCUGCUCCCUCACUCUGUCACUAGUCAUUCCCUCCCUCACUCUGUCACUAAUCACCCCCUCUGUCCUUAGUGACAGAGUGAGAGAGGGGGUGACUAGUGACAUAGUGAGGGAGGGGGUGACUAGUGACAUAGUGAGAGAGGGGGUGACUAGUGACAGAGUGAGGGAGUGGGUGACACAGUAACAGGGUUAGGGAGGGAGUGACUAGUGACAGAGAGAGGAAUGGGGUGACUAGUGACAGUCACCCCCUCUCUCACUCUGUCAUUAGUCACCCCCUCUCUCACUCUGUCAUUAGUCACCCCCUCUCUCACUCUGUCACCAGUCAUCCCUUCCUUCCCUCACUCUGCCACUAGUCAUCCCUUCCCUCACU